rnacentral:lncRNA from 1 species
GCGGGUAUGCCUACCUUUUGUGGAAUUAGUUCUACUAGGAGACAGUCCAAGUCAGACACUUCUAGGUCAUGUUCUAUGACCGUUAGAUUUCUCUGGACUAAUAUGUAACAAGCCAUAUUCA